UGGGGAAUAUUGGGCAAUGGGCGCAAGCCUGACCCAGCAACGCCGCGUGAAGGAAGAAGGCUUUCGGGUUGUAAACUUCUUUUAAGAGGGACGAAUAAAGUGACGGUACCUCUUGAAUAAGCCACGGCUAACUACGUGCCAGCAGCCGCGGUAAUACGUAGGUGGCAAGCGUUAUCCGGAUUUAUUGGGUGUAAAGGGCGUGUAGGCGGGAGUGCAAGUCAGAUGUGAAAAUCUCAGGGCUCAACCCUGAGCCUGCAUUUGAAACUGUACUUCUUGAGUGCUGGAGAGGCAAUCGGAAUUCCGUGUGUAGCGGUGAAAUGCGUAGAUAUACGGAGGAACACCAGUGGCGAAGGCGGAUUGCUGGACAGUAACUGACGCUGAGGCGCGAAAGCGUGGGGAGCAAACAGGAUUAGAUACCC
rnacentral:rRNA from 1 species